rnacentral:misc_RNA from 1 species
CGAUCUCUUAAAAUAAAGCCCGGUCUGUUUCAAUAAACAGGAUGUUUAGACAUAUGUUUAAAUUCUACGGUUCUUAAAGACCAUAAAUUUAAAAAAGGCUUUAUGAAGAAAGCUCUUUAUGCUUUUCCAGUGAUUUAAGAUGAUACCGGGGAAGGUUUUCCGGUUUAUCCCGGAGGGCUUGUAGCUCAGUUGGUUAGAGCGCGCGCUU